CCUACGGGAGGCUGCAGUGAGGAAUAUUGGUCAAUGGUCGGGAGACUGAACCAGCCAAGCCGCGUGAGGGAUGAAGGUACAGAGUAUCGUAAACCUCUUUUGUCAGGGAACAAAGGCGGGGACGCGUCCCCGGAUGAGUGUACCUGAAGAAAAAGCAUCGGCUAACUCCGUGCCAGCAGCCGCGGUAAUAGGGAGGAUGUGAGCGUUAUCCGGAUUUAUUGGGUUUAAAGGGUGGGCAGGCGGUCUGUUAAGUCAGCGGUCAAAGCACGGGGCUCAACCCCGGCCCGCCGUUGAAACUGGCAGUCUCGAGUUGGAGAGAAGUAUGCGGAAUGCGCGGUGUAGCGGUGAAAUGCAUAGAUAUUACACAGAACACCGAUUGCGAAGGCAGCUUGCUAGGCCGGAUCUGACACUGAUGCACGAAAGCGUGGGGAUCGAACAGGAUUAGAUACCCUAGUAGUC
rnacentral:rRNA from 1 species